UUGACUUGACUAGGUAACUCUUCUGAAACGUCUAGAAACAGCUAGAAUGCGAUGCCUGGAGUAUAAAGCAGCUGGUGGAAGGACAGAGAAAGAAAGAAAAGAAAGAAAGACAGCACCAGCACCAGCAGCGGCACGGGCACCGAACCGAACCGAAACGAACCGAACCGAACCGAACUGAACUGAACUGAUGUGAACUAAAUCCUCCUUGACGCAAUGAUGUUUCAUAUGAAGAUAACCUUUCAAACGCUUCAGUCACAGAAGUUCGCAACAGGCCUGACGCACACAGCUUUCGGGGUUAAUAUUGAUUUUUUCUGACUUAGCUAAAGCAAUGAUGGGAACGUUUUAUUCGACAUCGCUGUAAACGUGUGGCGUAAUUUAGGAAGUGGACGGAAGAAGGAAGUUUUUUGAGCCGCUGUUUUCAAUUAACUGAUGAGAUGUAACACACAUUAUAUGCAAUGACACGUGUUCAUCUAGCGAGGUGAUCGACUGAGCAUCUGCAGCGUAGUGACAUAAAUUAUUUAAUACUGACUUAUGAAAACUAAAAAAUGUAUUAGAGUGUGCAGGUUUGACAAACAAACAACAACUUUGCCAGUUUGCAGAAAAAUACAAAUGAAUAAGAUAAAUUGAUACGAUGACAUAAUAGGCUAGCUCAUUGGAUUAUACUGGGUAAUCAAUCUUCAUGUUCCAUAAAGAGAUUUUAUAAAUAUAAAAAGCCUGUAAAUAUUUUAUACAUAUUUUCUUUAUGAAGGCAACUAGGACACAGAGCUUUUACCUGGCCUGAUCCGAUGUCACUCAGCCUCUCAGCUUUUGUGUUUUUAAUUUGAGAUGCACAAAGAUGAACAAAGAACUGGUUAAAGUCUGAACAGAGCAUCAGGUUCACAUGUGUAGCCCUUACAGGUUAUCUUUCUAGUUUAUCAUGUUGGUUGUAUGUUACGUUGCCAACAGCUGAAGGUAUGGUGAAUCUGUUUACAAAGCUGAAAAAGCUCCCCAGACUCAGUAAACGGGCUGUCGGUAUCACUGCUGCUAACUGUUCCUCCCUCUAGCAGGUGCUUCCCACAAGAUGUGAGGUGAACUCACAUAAAGUAAGGACUCCAGAAAGUAGAAAGUAGUAGUAGCAGCAGUAGCAGCAGCAGUAGUAGUAGUAGUAGAGAAAAGACGGAGUCAGACCAUAUCAAAUUCCUUGCUUGUCCUGUGCAAACUUGGCUUAGGCUGAUGCUAAUUAAGAAAAAUCUAUUUUAAAACUAAACCACUAAAACAAUCUCUUAAUUUUAUUUCACUUUUGUUUUUCUACUGACAUUAUUCUCCUGCUCGUACAUUUUCGAGAGCAGCGUUUUAAUAAAUACCAAGGUUAAACAGUGACAUCUAGUGGUCGUAACCAAAUUAGAGGCCGCAGUCAAACGUUUUACGGUGAAAAGGGCAUUCCAGCUGUUCAGUACAAAAGAUCCAGUAAAAAUGUAUGUCAGUCUAGAAUAAAAGUUUUCUGUUUUAAUUUUUUCACUCGACUUUUUCAAAAAUUAAGUCUGGUCAGUAGCUUUUAAUUUAGUUUGGUCAGUUGACAUUUAUAUUGUGGUGUAAAAUAAGGUGCUUAGCUUUGUCCAUCUUAGCCAAGUGUCCUAUAAACAGUUUAGCUGUGGAAGGGAAACAAGUACAUUUUUUCAUUUGCAUGGUUGUAUUUUUAGUAUUUACAGGGUUAGCAGUCAUGUGCUGCUCUUUAAGCUAAAUCAAAGGAAUUUUUAAAAUAUGCCAAAUGUAGUAAAUGUGUGGUUUAUAGGUGGAGCUUUGCUAUGAAUUCAGAAUAUUCAUAUUAUAAGGGUUAUACUCUAGGCACAUUGAGUCUUUCCAUUAUAAAGACCUAAUGCAGAUAUAGAUUUGGUACCUGAAGCAGUAAAAUGUACACGUGAAAAAUAAUGUAAACCUGAAAUAGUUUGAUAAAUAUACCUUAAGAUGCAAUGAAAAAUGCUAAGCUAUAUUUCUUCUACAGAAAUAAUAAUAAUAAUAAUUAUUAUUAUCAGGUCCAACAAGGCAUCACAAAAAAAUCCAACCAUUUAGUUUGCAAAGAAUCAAGUAUAGUUAAACAGUAUAAAGCAACUCUGAGUAAUUACAAUAAUUCACUUAUUAUAGUCUGCUGCUGGACUGCUACAAUGUAAAUAAUGUCAUGAGUGAAAAUACAGCCUACCAUUACAAAACUGUUUUUGUAUUGUGUGGUGAAUUUACAAAGUAUCUAAAGCAGUUACAUAUCAGAAGUGGAGUAAAAGAGAAAUAGUUUCCUCUAAUUUAUAGCUGACCUGCAGAACCUAAUCUAAAAGGCAAAUGCUCCAGUAAAGUAUCAAAGUCAGGCACUGAGGUACAGUAUAUGAGAAAAUUACUUCCCAUCUCUCAGGACUAGACACUUGCAGUAUAAGUACACACAUUGGCUACAUGUAGUUCUAUAAAGAUGAAGCUGCAGACAGGCAGUAAGACUUCCAACCAUCAAAUAUUUCUUUAUUUUUUUUAAUCUGCUUAUGUUUGUUUUCUUUUAAUCAUUUGAUGAGAUCUGCAGGUGGCCUUUGAAAUUCUAUUCACUUAUGAUGAGAAGAGCAGACAUUUGAACUAAGUAGUUACCAAACUGCCAUUUGACAAUAUGAAAUUGAUUGAUGGGUGAAUUCAACUUGACACAUUUGGGAAAACAUGACUCUUUAACAUAAUUAGAUUUUACAAUCUGGCUAUUUAGAAGCAAUAUUCAUCCUACUAAUAAUUUUGAUUACAACAGAAGUUAAGUAAAAACAAAAUUUGAAACAAAAUGACGUGAUAUAACUUUAAAGUUAAAAAUCAGUAACACAAUAUACACAUAUCUGACAUAACACAUAAGUUUAUAAGUUCUCAUUUUGUAUUAACAAUGACUAAAAAUAUAAGUGUUCAUGUCUUUGUCUUCCUCAUUACUUUGGAAAUUUAAUUUUAUAAAUUAAGUAAUUGUGUUUUUUAAAGUAGCCUGACCUUUUAUUUGAAAGGUUCCAGCUUCAGACCACAGGCCAGUUAGUCUUAAUUUACUUCUGGUGUCCAUGCUCAUCACUUAAAUAUUUUGAAUUUAGAAUAAAUUGAUUCUCUGGUACUGUUUUGUUAUAAUGUCUAAAACUGUUGCUGCUGAUAUGCUGUCACCAUAUGUUGUAAAGCUAUGAACAGUGACUUGAUGAUGAUGAUAAUGAUUUUUAACAGCUAAAUAAAAGGUUUUAGGACGUU